rnacentral:rRNA from 1 species
AUGGGCGCAAGCCUGAUGCAGCGACGCCGCGUGAGGGAUGACGGCCUUCGGGUUGUAAACCUCUUUCACCAGGGACGAAGCGAAAGUGACGGUACCUGGAGAAGAAGCACCGGCCAACUACGUGCCAGCAGCCGCGGUAAUACGUAGGGUGCGAGCGUUGUCCGGAAUUACUGGGCGUAAAGAGCUCGUAGGCGGUUUGUCGCGUCGUUCGUGAAAACUUGGGGCUUAACUCCAAGCGUGCGGGCGAUACGGGCAGACUUGAGUACUACAGGGGAGACUGGAAUUCCUGGUGUAGCGGUGAAAUGCGCAGAUAUCAGGAGGAACACCGGUGGCGAAGGCGGGUCUCUGGGUAGUAACUGACGCUGAGGAGCGAAAGCGUGGGUAGCGAACAGGAUUAGAUACCCUGGUAGUCCACGCCGUAAACGGUGGGUACUAGGUGUGGGUUCCUUUUCACGGGAUCCGUGCCGUAACUAACGCAUUAAGUACC